CAGUCGCCGCGGUAAAACGAAGGGGGCUAGCGUUGUUCGGAAUUACUGGGCGUAAAGCGCACGUAGGCGGAUAUUUAAGUCAGGGGUGAAAUCCCGCAGCUCAACUGCGGAACUGCCUUUGAUACUGGGUAUCUUGAGUAUGGAAGAGGUUAGUGGAAUUGCGAGUGUAGAGGUGAAAUUCGUAGAUAUUCGCAGGAACACCAGUGGCGAAGGCGGCUAACUGGUCCAUAACUGACGCUGAGGUGCGAAAGCGUGGGGAGCAAACAGGAUUAGAUACCCCCGUAGUCCCUGUCUCUUAUAC
rnacentral:rRNA from 1 species